AUGCCGAGUCAGUCUCAGUCAGGGCAGACCAUAGACCUGAAGGCUCCUGCUCACCUCCUUGUGCUUCUACUACUCUGGUUUCCAGGUACACAAUGUGACAUCCAGAUGACCCAGUCUUCAUCCUCCCUGGCUGCCACUACUGGAGAAAGAGUCACCAUCACUUGCCAGGCAAGUCAGGGCAUUAACAAAUGGUUAGCCUGGUACCAGAAGAAAGCAGGGAAUGCUGCUAAGCUCCUUAUUUAUAAAGCAUCCGACUUGCAAUCCAGGGUCCCAUCGAGGUUCAGUGGCAGUGGAUCUGGGACAGAUUUCACUCUAACAAUCAGCAACCUGGAUCCUGAAGACACUGCAACUUAUUACUGUCAACGGUAUGACAGCUACCCUCGGUCUUUUGGGCCAGGCAACUUCACUCGGAAU